UCGGGAAUUUUGCGCAAUGGGCGAAAGCUCUGACGCAGCAACGCCGCGUGAGGGAUGAAGGCUUUCGGGUUGUAAACCUCUUUUCUCAGGGACGAUAAUGACGGUACCUGAGGAAU
rnacentral:rRNA from 1 species